CUACCCUAGCCAUUCACCCUCUUCCUCUCAUCUUUUCUCUUCAAUUUUCUUUCUUUCUCCCAUUAUUAUCGUCACCUACACUUGCCAUUUUACCAUCUCUUUCUUCUUAUUUUUGCAUCAAGAUUGUGCACCAUUUCCUUCAAUCUAUUGCUGAAAUUUAUCCUCAUCUAAAUCAGCCCCAAAUCUGAAUCUUGAACCCCAAGAUCGAUCCCGAACAUUGCCAAGAAAGUGUCAUUGCUGUUUCUCUCAACUAGCUUGGGUAAUAUCUAUUUUCUCUUCAAUUUCUUGAUUAAUUUUGUCAAUUAAAAACCAAAAUUUCUAGAUCUUGAAUUUGAGGGAUUUAAAAUUAUUUUAAAGGUAUUUUUCUAGAUUUUAAUGAGAUCUCAAACCUUUUUAAAAUUUAGUCCCAAUUUUGGCCACCAUGGGUGGUGGUGCGUGCGCAUAUGUGCAAGAAAGGGGGUUGUUUUGUUUCUUGGGUCUUGCCCACAUUUUCCUAGAAUUAAUUGUGUUUUUAAAGCCUCCUAAUCAUCCUUUAAUCACAUGUUAAUUAUGGAGAGACGUUCUUGAUCAAUUAGUCAAUCGGAUCCCACAAAUCGUGAAGCAUAAGUACAAUUAAUGAUAACAAGUUUGUUAUUUUGACACAGUUGUUGGGUAAAGGUUAUAAAUUUAUUAAAUGAAGGAAUUUAAUAAUUAAUUAGCUACUGAUUUUCUAAUAUAUUAUUGAAUUAGGUGCUGACCGAAAUGCCCCAAGUCAUCCGUAAAGCCGAAGAAUGAUGGUACAUAUAGUUCGCAUUAAUACAGUGUAAGGAAUCUAGCUAGUUUGGAUUCAUAAAAUAGUUAUAAUUUCAACGAUUGGUUUGAAAUCAUAAGUGGGUGUUUGGGGGCUGGCUUAAUGGUAAAUUGAUUGAAUUUAUACUGAAUUUUGGUUUAGGUUCGCUUAAGGAAUUAUUCAGGAAAAUUGGAAUAUUCACUAGUGUGCUGCGAUGAAGCGAAAAAUAAGGUGUGAGUCAUAAACUCAUAAAAUUAUUUGAAAAUGUUAAAUAUCAUGUUACAUUUGAUAAAUUAGCUUUCCAAUUGGAUUGACUUAAUAGCCAAAUUAUUGAUUUUCUGAUUGGCCGAACAAAGUAUGUUUGAUCGAACCAGGUAUGUUUCGACCUUAAAAGAUUGACAUGUUGAUAAAAUUUCUAGUUUGAUAGUAUAAAUGUUUGAUUAAGUUUGUAAAUGCAUAUUUGAGUUAUGAGAUAUGAGAAUGUUUGACUAAAUGAUAUAAUGUGUUGAGAUAUUAAGCUUAUGUAUUAUUUAAACGCAUGAGAUAUUUGUUAUAUUGUGUACUGAAAAGGAUGAUAUUUAUGCACAAUGAAAAUCCCAAAAUAAAAGUUAUCAAAUUUUACUUAAGCCUGAUGUUAUGCAUUAUCCGAUGCCAUGUAGUGUUAUUAGAAUAUGCUACCUGUCCUUUUUUAUUUUUUAAUAUUAUAUAUGUAAUAUUGAUUCAAAAUGCAAAAAAAAUCAUAUAUAAUAUAUAAUAUAUAAAAAAUUAAAAAAUUUAAUUUUUUAUAAAAUUCUCAAAUAUAUAAUUAUAAAUUUUAAAAAGUCAAAAUAAUGUAUAAAAUUGAAAAUUAUUAUAAAAAUUAUAAAAGGAUUUAAAUUUCAAGUAAUUGCACCAAAAAAAAACCUUGAAAUUUAAAUACCUUCUUUUAAAUUAAUUAUUUUUAAACUUUUUAAAUAUAUUUUCUACAAUUAUUUUAUAAUUUUUACAUUUUUUUACAUUUUCUAAUAGUAUUAUUAAGUUUAACUAAUUUCUUUUCAAUUAUAAGUUUUUUGUAAAUUUUAUUUUUGUAAAUUUUUUAUAAUAUAUAUUUUUUGGAUUAUAUAUAUUUUAAGAAUUUUUUUAUAUUUAUUUCUAUUUUUCAUAUUUUUUAAUGUGUAUAUACAUUUAAUAAAAGAAAAUAUUUUUUUUUACAUAAAGCCACCAUGUGGCAGAUUAUCAUUGGCUAUCAGAUAAUGUCUCUAAAAAAAAUGGACUAAGAAAUAUAUCAUAGGCAUACUCUAGGUACUAAAUUGGAAGGUGGUUGAUAUUUUAGGUACCAAAUGGGGACAAAAAAAAUGUAGAUACCAAAAUGUGAAAAUGGGUAUACUUCAAGGGUCAAAUUGUUAAUUAGGUCAUUUCUAAAAUACCAAUUCACCUAUUCUAAAUAUUUUCGAACCUAAAAUAAAUUUAUAAUUAAAAAAAGCAAUAGCAAUUAACAUUUUAUUACCUUCAAUAUACUUUUAAAUGAAAUUUAAGUUCUUUUAUAAGAAAAAGAAUAAUUUUAACCAGUUUUUAAGAUUUGAUAAAAACUUUAAAUGUAAAAUAAUUAGAGUAAAAGAUAUGAAAAUUUUAAAACUUAAUUCAUUAAAAAUAUCAAAGUAAAGAAAGAAAUAAAAUUUAUUAUAUAAUAUUUUUUAAAUAUGCAAGAAUUUGAAUAUCAUAAAUAAAAAAUACUAAUUUAUUUUAGUGGCGUGAUCAUAACAAUAAUACUUUUUACUGUAACACCCUGAAAUUUAUAAGGUUAGAAUUAAUAAAAUUACCAAGGAAUAAGUUUUUGUUUUGAUGGCUAAUAGCUUAAAAAAUCGUUUAGAGAACCAAGGUUUAAACCCUACUCUUUUCAUUUUCUUCUAUUAUUUUUCAGUAACUAAGGAACAAAAUUAAGCUUGUUUAUAUACUAGAUGUGGUGGAAAUAAGUUAACUAUAGGUAGUAACCCAAAUAGUAAGGCUUUGCAUUCUCUUUCCCUCAUUCCCAGGUUCAAGUCAUGCUAACUCCAUUUCCCCUGUUCAUUUUUUCUUCAAUUUCGGCAGAAAUGGAUUAUUUGCCAAAUUAGCCCUAAAAGUUUGAAAUUCCUAGAUAUUUAAUCUUUUUUCCAAAUCAUAGUAGAAUUAUAGUUUCUUUUUCCCUAUAUCUUCUCUCUUUUCUCUCCCAUCUUCCUUUUCUCAAGUUUUUACUAUCUAUUACUGAGAUUAAUAUUUUUGAAUCCCAAACUUGGAAUCAACCUCCGUUUAAUCUUUUCUUUGUAUCAUCUUAGCGUACGCCGUCAAUUUCAUCCUUGAGUUACCAAGAACCAGUAGUUCAAUUCAAACUCGAUUAUCGAUCCCAAAUUUCCAUAGUUUAGGAUUUUUGACUUUCACACGACCCCCAUACACAUCCAUGCCACCCCUGAAACUCUCGGAUGUUCGACUUUCACAUGGCCUAGGGUCCCAACACGGUCGUGUCUUCUUUGUAGUUUAAAUUUUCGAAUGCCACACAGCCAUAGUCUCUCACAUGGCCUAGCCACAUGGCCGUGUACCCUAUCCACACGGCCUAGGGCUUCUCACACAGUCCGGUUACACGGUCGUGUAUCCUCUGGAAUAAGGAAUUUUCAAUUUUGACCCAAAAUUUUAUGUUUUGAUCAAUUUAGUCCCUGAAUUGGUUCCGAACUAUUUCUAGUAAACUAAACUAUGCAAUUAAGUCCUUCAUGACAUGAGAUAUGCUAGAAUCUAUGAUUGAUCGAAGUAAUGUUGUAUUUAGUUAUAUUUAUGAAUAUUUGCAUGAAUUAUGAAUAGCAUAUGUUAUCUUUGUAUUUAUAUACUUGCGAUUGUAUGGAUGACAUGCCCUAUAUUGUUCUCAAACUAAAUACGUGAAAAGUUGAUUUUGCUAUUGAUUUACCAUGUGAUAUAUAUUAAAUGCCAUUAGAUGUGAUUAUAUUCAAUAUUUUAUAAUCAUGGGUUGGAAAAAUAUGUACAGAGGAAGAUCAAACAAUUUAUCUACAAGUAAAAUGGCAGUGCAAAGUCACAACCAUGCGACAGUUCCUAUCUGCAAACUACUUUGUAUCCACAUCCAAAGGAAGAUUCCAUCUUUGGAUACGACUAUGAAUCCAUAGCCAAAGGUCGAUUCCAACGGCGAGUCGAUGUUGUAGAAUAUACAGCCAAAAAGUAGAUUUCAUCUGCAGGAGUUUUACUGUGAACCUACAGCCAGAGGCAGAUCCAGAGGCAGAUUCCAACCCUGGGGACUUGCUGUGUCUCCAUAAAAAAAAUAGUAGUUAUUAUCUACAAACCAGUAGUAGUUUAUCCAUAACUAGGUGUGUUGGAGAAGGGAGUUCUUGGGAACUCCCAUUAUGGUGUGUAGUAGUGGGGUAGAAUUUAUUCAAUUUAAUCUCGAAACUGUAUGACAUCAUUUAAAUCAUGUGCAUACAAAUUUGGAAAAUAUGUUACGACAUAUAUGCGUGAAUUUAUUUAUAUAUAUGCUAUUGAAUA
rnacentral:lncRNA from 1 species